CAGUUUGGGAGCUGUGUGCAAGACAUAAAUGCAGAUUCAGCUAGCACAGCUCUGGUUGCCUGCUGUGUAGCACUUUCCCUGUCUGGCCAGACAGUCAUUAAUGCAGAGAGAGGCAGAGAGAACCACUAAUACUUUGAGUGGAGAUACAAUCCGGUAAAGUAAGAUAAAGGCUUGGAAGAGCAAACACAAAAGCACAUGGGAAGAAAUAAUUGGCUGCCAAAAAAUACUCUAAGCUGUGCUCAUGGCCAGCUCUCAUAACACCUGGCCUUCCUGCAAUCCCUUGACCUAAACUUGCCAUCACAUUUUCCAGUCUUGGCCAUGUUUGCAUCUUCCAGACGAAGUUCAUGGGAGCAUAAGUUCCAUAAAACAACAAAGGGCCCACCAAGAUCAUCGGAAGGAGUCCCACUGAAGGAUAUGGAAUUCAAAAGUCCGAACACCUUUGUUCCUUGGACUGUUAUUGGCAAUCCUGAACGUGGAAGGACCUCAGCAGAUCCAGGGGCAGAGCUCCUAACUCUAGCAUUCACCCUUCAUUACUUUGCCUUGCUUAUUUUUCUGAGCUGAUUCCAAGAAUCAGAUGUUGACUAUAAAACUGAUUUGAAGCUGGAACGGCCUGACCUAAGACAAUAACCGUCAUACUGAGGAGUUCACCAGACUGCCUUCCUCAAGCUCCUGGAAAAACCUUGAUUUUUACCAGUGGCCCCUAAUCUGGGCUUCAUAUAAAAACCCCUCCUACAUCCCUAAGGACCAGAAAGGAGAAACUUGACACAUUAGUCUAUUUCCUUUCCAGAUUGCCAGCAUGCUCAAUAAAUGUCACUUUCUUUUUCCCAAUAUUCAUCUCUCAGAUAUUGUAUUUUUGUGUGCCAUACUUUGGAAUCUGAAUUUGGUAUUGUUUUGGUGAAAAUUGCUGCAGUCAUUGAUUGUAUUUCAAAUUUACUUGCUCUACAAGCUGCUUAAUCCAUUUCCUACAAUUGUGGAUUGACU
rnacentral:lncRNA from 1 species